AUGGUUGUCGUCAGCUCGUGUCGUGAGAUGUUGGGUUAAGUCCGCAACGAGCGCAACCCCUAUUGUUAGUUGCCAUCAUUCAGUUGGGCACUCUAGCGAGACUGCCGGUAAUAAACCGGAGGAAGGUGGGAUGACGUCAAAUCAUCAUGCCCUUAUGACCUGGGCUACACACGUGCUACAAUGGUUGGUACAACGAGUUGCGAGUCGGUGACGGCGAGCUAAUACUCUUAAAGCCAAUCUCAGUUCGGAUUGUAGGCUGCAACUCGCCUACAUGAAGUCGGAAUCGCUAGUAAUCGCGGAUCAGCACGCCGCGGUGAAUGCGUUCCCGGGCCUU
rnacentral:rRNA from 1 species